GAGAAUAGAUUUUUAAAGGAAAUAUUUCUCAAUACAGUUUGAGAAACCAAACCUGGCCAGACCAUUAUAAAGUGAGAAAAAUUACAAAACAUUGCUUCUCAUGAACACAAGCACAAAAAUCCCAAAACUAAGAGCUUACGGCCUCUGUUUCACCUGUGUCCUGAGAUCCUGAGUUAAUCUGACGGGGGAAACUCUAAGCACACAGCACAGGCUGUGGCAAGGCGACCGGUGUCCUUCAGCCACAUUCUAGAGAGAUGGUCAGCAGCAAACCAUGACGCAGAAAGAAGCGGGAAGGUUUGAUUCGGCCAGAAAGGGAACUGUUUGAAGUGGUGGACAAAGAAGACUUCAGUGUUAAAGAGUUUACCACCGUGAACAAGAAGCCAGGACACAGGUGCGGCCGACAUUUUGAAAUGAAGAUCAAGGCAAGUUUUACCUUCACUAGGCCUGAACACAUGAUGUUAUGAGCUCCCAGGAUGUACCAACUCCCAGCCUUGAUAAGAUCCUGUGGUAAAAGAAUCCACAAGAGCCAGGCGGUGGUGGCCCACACCUUUAAUCCCAGCACUCGGGAGGCAGAGGCAGGCGGAUCUCUGUGAGUUCAAGGCCAGCCUGGGCUACCAAGUGAGUUCCAGGAAAGGCGCAAAAUUACACAGAGGAACCCUGUCUCGAAAAACCAAAAAAAGAAAAAGAAAAAGAAAAAAAAAGAAUCCACAAGAAAGCUAGCACGAAAGACAUCUCAACCUACAAGACAUUAGUCACGGAAGACGUGUCCCACUACCUCUUCUGUGGUCUAGUGAUAAGUAAGUCAUGGGUACUGACCACACUCAGCACAGGACAUCACUUAAGGGUGUGAACACCAGAAGAUAAGGACUGAGGCUGAGUCUUCCCCACAGCCGUCUUCUGUAGAUGGAAUUCUAAACAGUCUUAUUAAAUAAGAAACACAGAGCCAAAUACAGAGUUAAAAGCCCAAGAGGUCAGAGCACUAGCGAAUAGCCUUUAG